AGACACACAAAAUGCACUUUUGGAUUCAGCUUGCACCAUGAAAUAAACCAGUUUAAACCAACGCUUACUCCCACUAACCAGUGGAGUCCACCAUGAUGAGCCUAGAUCGCUCACGGCUCCCUAUUUCGAGGGAGCUUAGUAUCUUUAGUGAUUAAUCGGUGCUCUUCCGGAAAAUGAAAAUUCGGUGCUAGCACGCGUGCAUCCAGUAGGUUCUGGCUGGUACAAGACCAAUCUCAUUCCAUUUCAUUAAAGAAAAGCACUGAUCGCCCACUGCGUGCCUUAUCUCAUCGCCACUCCUCUUCUUCUUUGAGGACGGGGCGUCGACCCGUUGGCUGGGCAGCUAAGGUUGCUGCCAGCCCACCCGAGUUCAAGUCCCGGCUUGGACGCGUGAUGCUCGCGGAGUUUGCCCUAUAAAAAAUGCCAACGAGGGUUAGCCCUUGGGUUGGUCUCAUUUUUUUUCCUUCUUUUAUCCAGAUCGCCAAUUCCUCCGCUCAUCCUAAUCCAGCGCUAGUCCUCUUCUUCUUCUCCAUCCAAUCUAGCCAAGAGCCGCACGUGCGCGGGGCCGUGGUGGCUGGACAGCGCAGCACCCCCUAAUCGGCGAUGAACCCAGAGGCCGCCAAGGCUGGCGCCUUGGAGCUCCUCUGCCUCGUCCUGAUCUGGCCGUGCGCCCCAGUCGUCGGCCCCGUGCUCCUGAUUCAGACCGCCUAGCCUUCGCCACCUGCGCCAUGCCCUAGAGGUUCGGCCGAUCCCGCGUCGCUCAUUCUCGCUUCUUCCUCUGCUCGCGGCUCGCGUUGACUGCGGUAGGCCACAUGCCUCGUCCAACCACAUCCUCUCACUGCCUUUCUCCUCCACCACCACUCCUCUCCCUUCUUCCUCCCCUCCCUGCCAGCCAGGGCACUCUCCCUCUCCCGCCUCCGUUCGCCGCAGGUGAGUGCGCGGCUACGGGUGUCUGGCCAGCAGCAACAGUUGCGGCAAUUCCGUGCCCGGAGAAGCCGCGCGCUGGGCGAUGUGGAGGACGACGACCUGCCGCUUCCUCAUUCGGGCGUCCUCCUCUGCGCCGUCGAGAGACGGCCAUGGCCGCCCGAUGCCCGCGCGCCGCCGGCCAAGGAUCCGCCGGCGUCCAGACCCCCUCCACGCCAUCCCCAUCUCGCCAGAGACCUACACCAAGUCCCAUCCAGCGCCCGCAGCUCUGCAGCCCGAGCGCUUCAGCCGCCUCGCACCCGAAGCAGAUAAGAGGAGCUCCCAACCACGAGCUUCUCCAGCCCCGGCAAACCAGCAGGGCGACCCCUCCUCCUUCUCACUUCCCUCCUCCUUCCUUUUUUUCCGCCAGGAUGCAUCACCCCUUGCUUGGCUUCUACGGCGUGGAAGCAGGCGGCAAGCUGUGGCCCGUGCCAGGCGGUGGAGAAGGCAAAUGGAUAAGCGGUGGUGGUGCCCUGGUGGUGAAGCAGUUUAAUUAAGGACCGCACGUAGAAUUGUAACUAAUGCAGGGGUGUUUAUGUAAAAACGAAGCGUUUUCUCACGUACCCACUUAAGAUAGGACUGCGGAUUGAAUUCCCAAAAACAAAGGGGCUUUUCUGCAAAAGUGCAGACGACGUACGACCAGAAGCAAUCGCUGGUUUAUUAGUAGGUACAGAUUUAUUUUAUUUGGCGUUCGAUCUAUCAAUCUACUACAAUUUUAUCUCA